CUCAAAAAUAUCAGCAAAAAUGUAUUCUAUAUUUUUCUUUUUACAGUACUGUUGGUUUCCAAGUGCAUGCCAACAUCAGGGAACAAUCUCAGCAAUCUUGUUUUUAGGAGCUGCUGUUGCUGUGGAAUAAUAUGCAAGAAAUGUCAGUUGUAGGAUGUUUUCCAAAACACAAAUUGUAUUCUUCUCUGCUCUAUGUGAUUUAGGAACCAUGCAGUCCUGGGGAAGGCAAGUCCAUGGAAGAAAGCAACAGUGUUUGACAAUGGAUACCAAAUGCUUGCAAAACUACACUUCGUAGGAGGAACAGCUCUUUUCCUUAGCUGAAGUCUCUGCAAACAUUUUACCCAACUAUGAACCCUAAGGAAUAGCAUGAUGACUAUUAUAAUGCAACAGACAAUUUUAGCUAGAGCUUGGAAACCAGUGUCUUCAAGUGUUUCAAGAAGAAGUUACAAGAUUGGUUGAAGUCUAUAAUGGAAAGUAAAAUGCUCUAAAUAAACAUAAUAAAACUAUACCCU
ensembl:lncRNA